rnacentral:lncRNA from 1 species
CUUCUACUUGUGCAGGGCUCAGCAUCCCUGGGGCCUCAACUCCUAAUCCAUCCUGGGCUGCUCUUCUGCAUGGGAAAGUAAGCGCUCAUCCCAGGUCUGGACCACUACCUCCAGGCCCU